CGAAGCAGAGGCGGGAUACGGGCGGCAGGUCAGGAGCAAGGCGUAAGAUUCACGUACAGACUGGAUUGGGCGCGGGGUGAAGCCGUAGAGGAUGGGACCGGAGAUUCGAAUCGGCCGGAUGAGAUACGGAGGGAAGGAGAGGAGGAUAGGAUUUUGAGAUGGUCCAGCGAACUGGGGAACGAGAGUGGACGACGGAACCGAACCGGAUGCCGCUACUCUUGCUGCUCUGAAGAGAUGUACGUAUUUCUGAAAUCAUGGCCGAACCCAACCCGACCCAUCGUGUAAUUUUUUUCGAUUUUAGGGUUAGUUUGGAAACCCAUUUUCUCAAGAAAUUUUUAUUUUCUCCAAAUAAAAUUAGUUUAUUUUUAAGAAAA